UCUUAUGAGCUGGCUUUUCGCGAAGCACUGUGCUCGGGCCCCGCUCCAAUCCACUCAACCCCUGUGCACUUUCGGAGUUGCGGGUCCUUUGUAGUGAAGGCCCGUGGCUUCGUCUCUUAUCACAAACCAUAUGUAUUAUUGUUUUGUAGAACGUGGAUGCCUGCAAAGGCGGAAACUCAAUACAACUUUCAACAACGGAUCUCUUGGCUCUCGCAUCGAUGAAGAACGCAGCGAAAUGCGAUAAGUAAUGUGAAUUGCAGAAUUCAGUGAAUCAUCGAAUCUUUGAACGCACCUUGCGCUCCUGGACUUGUUUCAGGAGCAUGCCUGUUUGAGUGUCAUGAAAUCAUCAACCACGAUGCCUUUGUGUGUCCCGUGGCUUGGACUUGGGGAUCUGCUGGCGAAAGUCGGCUUCCCUUGAAUGCAUUAGUCGGGCGCUCUCGCUCCGAGAAGUGUGAUAAACUAUCAUUCACUGAUCGGCGAGGGGCUAUGUCCGGGCUUCCAACCGCAUGGAUGCAUGCACUUUGACAUAUCUGACCUCAAAUCAGGUAGGACUACCCGCUGAACUUAAGCAUAUCAAUAAGCGGAGGAAAAGAAACUAACAAGGAUUCCCCUAGUAACUGCGAGUGAAGCGGGAAAAGCUCAAA
rnacentral:rRNA from 1 species